rnacentral:rRNA from 1 species
GCAAGCCUGAUCCAGCCAUGCCGCGUGUGUGAUGAAGGCCUUAGGGUCGUAAAGCACUUUCGCCAGAGAUGAUAAUGACAGUAUCUGGUAAAGAAACCCCGGCUAACUCCGUGCCAGCAGCCGCGGUAAUACGGAGGGGGUUAGCGUUGUUCGGAAUUACUGGGCGUAAAGCGCACGUAGGCGGACUAGUCAGUCAGAGGUGAAAUCCCAGGGCUCAACCCUGGAACUGCCUUUGAUACUGCUAGUCUUGAGUUCGAGAGAGGUGAGUGGAAUUCCGAGUGUAGAGGUGAAAUUCGUAGAUAUUCGGAGGAACACCAGUGGCGAAGGCGGCUCACUGGCUCGAUACUGACGCUGAGGUGCGAAAGUGUGGGGAGCAAACAGGAUUAGAUACCCUGGUAGUCCACACCGUAAACGAUGAAUGCCAGUCGUCGGGCAGUAUACUGUUCGGUGACACACCUAACGGAUUAAGCAUCCGC